rnacentral:lncRNA from 11 species
CUGGAAUUACAAUGCAACGGAGAAGCCUAAACAGAAGGAAAAAACGGUGCAGCAGUAAGUUAGGGGUCAGAAGACGGGCCAUCGAAUCCAUGGAUGUAUCCAUAGAUACAAGGGGCCAACUAUAUUUUUUUACAUGAUGGUAAGUGCUUUUUAAUUUUUUACCAAGUUUGUUAUUAAGUGAC